UCGUCGUCAUCGUUUCCUAUUUUAUCGACUUCCGCAUUCGGAUUCCUCCCCUGCAAUUUCGAAUGCACAAACACACAAACACACAAACACAACGGACAGCUUUCUUUUUGGCACUUACAUCAGAAUUAGCAAUGCAAUUCUGCGAGGCUUUUGGCACUUACUUCAUCAACUCAUUUUAUGAUAUCUGUCCAAAGCAAAAAGCUUUCUUUUUUCAUGAAUCAUGAUCGAGCUCAGUUUCUCAAACCUCUCCACAUUUUUAUUCUACGAUUCACUUUCCAGCGAUUCCAAAGCGACGAGUCCUUGACUCCUUAUGAAUAGGGAAUGCUAUUCGGAUUCAGAUCUUCCAAAGAUAUGGUGAAUAGAAAAGUGGGAUGCUUGAAUUUCCUUACUGAUAAUUUGUACCAUGUUUGUGUUGUGCUGAUAAAUAAUUAUCUUCUAGAUUGAAAAACCCAAUUGACCAAAGACCAUUAAACAUUUGUAUGUUUCUCUUCUUCUCUAGAAAGCUCAGGUCAGCCAAAACCAGUCAGUAGUGGGUAAGGAUAGACCAGAAAGAUAUUUGUUGUACAUCCAAAUUACAAUGAUACAAUACCUAAACUCACCAACCCACCUCAUAGAGGACAAAUCCUUUUCCUUUCCUUGGUUGGUAAUCUAUGACAGACAAAUACCCUUUUUCAUCACCAACCAUUGAUCGUUCCCUUUUCUACUCAACCCCAUCAAUCAAAGUUUCCUUUAAAUAAAAAAAUAAAAUAAAAAUGGUUUCAAGGACGUUAGCAAUACGAAAUGAUGUAAUCAGACUUACUCUAUAUAAAAAUUCAAAUAAAAGGAUGGAGGACAAAAGUCAAACUAAAACGUUUAUCAGUUCAUCUUACUUGGAAAAUGCCUCGGUGUUUUUUAUAUUAGUGACAAGUUGGUGAACUUUUUGAAGUUUAUGUUGCGCCAAUUAUUUGGAAGGAUAUUGCCCCACCAACUACAAUGUCAAAAUGCCAAAGUUUCUGACUUAUAACUUUGAAUCUAAUUUCAGAAAACAUUUUCUGCGUUUUCUUAAUUUUACCAUCUAACGCAAAUUACAGGCGUAUUCAAAAAAUGAAAACUAAAAACGGCCUCCAAAAACACCACCAAAUGAGCUCUAAUUUUUCAUUUCAUCCUUUCAUUUUUUGCAGAAAGUUUAUCUGGGCUAAUAAUUUGGGCCAUGUUAUUUCUGUCUUUCCAUAAAUUUUAUCACACAGGAGUCAUUGUUGAAGGCUGGCCUGAGAGUUUAUCUGGGCGUUGCUGUAUACUACCACAGUUUGCAAAAGAUUAUGGGCCCUAAAAAUUAAAAAAAAAAA